rnacentral:rRNA from 1 species
AGAGUUUGAUCAUGGCUCAGAACGAACGCUGGCGGCAUGCCUAACACAUGCAAGUCGAACGAUGCCUUCGGGCAUAGUGGCGCACGGGUGCGUAACGCGUGGGAAUCUGCCCUUGGGUUCGGAAUAACUCAGAGAAAUUUGAGCUAAUACCAGAUGAUGACGUAAGUCCAAAGAUUUAUCGCCAAGGAUGAGCCCGCGUAAGAUUAGCUAGUUGGUGGGGUAAAGGCCUACCAAGGCGACGAUCUUUAGCUGGUCUGAGAGGAUGAUCAGCCACACUGGGACUGAGACACGGCCCAGACUCCUACGGGAGGCAGCAGUGGGGAAUAUUGGACAAUGGGCGAAAGCCUGAUCCAGCAAUGCCGCGUGAGUGAUGAAGGCCUUAGGGUUGUAAAGCUCUUUUACCAGGGAUGAUAAUGACAGUACCUGGAGAAUAAGCUCCGGCUAACUCCGUG